ensembl:lncRNA
AGGACCCUGGUCUAAAGUAGUGCACUACAGCCAAUAGGACCCUGGUCUAAAGUAGUGCACUACAGCCAAUAGGACCCUGGUCUAAAGUAGUGCACUACGGCCAAUAGGACCCUGGUCUAAAGUAGUGCACUACAGCCAAUAGGACCCUGGUCUAAAGUAGUGCACUACAGCCAAUAGGACCCUGGUCUAAAGUAGUGCACCACAUAGGGAAUAGGGAGGAGAUGCGGACUUCCUCCCUCAGUCACAGUACUUUUUACAUUGCCGUUUAUAGUAAUGUAACAGAUUUCACAUUAAUACAUGUUCCAUCCUACAGUACUGUAGUAGUGAUUAUAGAAAUAGGAUCCCUAGAAGGGUAAACACAAUGAGACCCCAGCCGGUCCACCCACUGACUUUAAUGGGGAUGACCGUUCCAGGAAUCCUAUUUCUAUGCUAGUAAUAGUCAUCAGUAAUAGACAGCGAUCUUCAAAAUCAUGGAAGAUUGUUUUCAACAAAAUCACACGUUUUUAUUUUAUUUUAAUCCUAACAUCAAAGCAGAAGGUUGGUCUCAAAUGACACGACCUUUGACCAGGAUCCGUAGGGCCCCAGGAUCCGUAGGGCCCAGGAUCCGUAGGGCCCCAGGAUCCUGGUCAAAUGUCCUGGGAUCCGUAAGGCCCCAGGAUCCGUAGGCCCCAGGAUCCUGGUCAAAGGUCCCAGGAUCCGUAGGGCCCCAGGAUCCGUAAGGCCCAGGAUCCGUAGGGCCCCAGGAUCCGUAGGUCCCAGUAUCCGUAGGCCCCAGAAUCCGUAGGCCCCAGGAUCCGUAGGGUCCCAGGAUCCAAAAGGCCCCAGGAUCCAUAGGCCCCAGGAUCCGUAGGCCCCGGGAUCCAUAGGCCCCAGGAUCCGUAGGGUCCCAGGAUCCGUAAGGCCCCAGGAUCCGUAAGGCCCCAGGAUCCGUAGGGCCCCAGGAUCCGUAGGGCCCCAGGAUCCGUAGGCCCCAGGAUCCAUAGGCCCCAGGAUCCGUAGAGCCCCAGGAUCCGUAGGCCCCAGGAUCCGUAGGGCCCCAGGAUCCGUAGAGUCCCAGGAUCCGUAAGGCCCAGGAUCCGUAGGGCUCCAGGAUCCGUAGGCCCCAGGAUCCGUAGGGUCCCAGGAUCCGUAAGGCCCCAGGAUCCGUAGGGCCCCAGGAUCCGUAGGCCCCAGGAUCCAUAGGGCCUCAGGAUCCGUAGGCCCCAUGAUCCGUAGGGCCCCAGGAUCCGUAAGUCUCAGGAUCCGUAGGGCUCCAGGAUCCGUAGGCCCCAGGAUCCGUAGAGUCCCAGGAUCCGUAAGGCCCAAGGAUCCGUAAGGUCCAGGAUCCGUAGGGCCCCUGGAUCCGUAAGGCCUAGGCUCCAUAGGGCCCCAGGAUCCGUAGGGCUCCAGGAUCCGUAGAGUCCCAGGAUCCGUAAGGCCCAGGAUCCGUAGACCCCAGGAUCCGUAGAGUUAUUUUCUGCUGUUCUGUCUAUAUUUUGUGCUAUAGCCUCGUUAUCUUGGACGGCGAACCACACAUACCAUAAUAAGUCGUUGUCCCCGGGGGACAGUUCUUAGUGUUUCAGUUUGUUUCUAUCGAGAUUCCGAUUCCGUAUUGUACUUCCUCAAGGUUUCUCUCUAAAACAUUCACUGAUUGGAUGAAAGUGAGUCACGUGACACAAUGGAACCAGUGAUGUCACAAUAAUAUGAAAAUCUACAUUUGCUGUUUGUUUUUUUUGUAUCCCCUGUGUAGUCUGAACACAAAAAAACACGUUUAAACACAUCUCUAUUCUGACAUUUCUGUGCUUGUAGUCACACACAUUUGUAUCCCCGUAACCUGCAGAUAUACAUUGGUAUGCCACAAGAUCAUUCCAUUCCAUGUUUUGUCCGUAAUUCCAUAAAUCCUUGUUAUCGUAUUAUUAUUCCUGAUGGAAAUUCAGGUCAUAUACUGAACAAAAAUAGAAACGCAUCAUGCAACAAUUUCAUGAUUUCAUGAUUGAGUUACAGUUCAUAUAAUGAAAAUCAGUCAAUUAAUAAAGUUCAUUAUGUCCUAAUCUAUGGAUUUUUUGAUUAUUUUUUAUUUAACCUUUAUUUAACCAGGCAAGUCAGUUAAGAACACAUUCUUAUUUUCAAUGACGGCCUGGGAACAGUGGGUUAACUGCCUGUUCAGGGGCAGAACGACAGAUUUGUACCUUGUCAGCUUGGGGGUUUGAACUUGCAACCUUCCGGUUACUAGUCCACAUGACUGGGAAUACAGAUCUGCAUCUGUUGGUCAGAUACCUUAAAAAAGGUAAGGGUGUGGAUCAGAAAACCAGUCAGUAUCUGGUGUGACCACCAUUUGCGUCAUUCAGCGCGACACAUCUACUUCGCAUAGAGUGGAUCAGGCUGUUGACUGUGAAUGUUGUCCCACCUCUCUUCAAUGGCUGAAUGGCAAAGUUGCUGUAUAUUUUGUCCGGAACUGGAACACAACGUCGUACACGUCUAUCCAGAGCAUCCCAAACAUGCUCAAUGGGUGGACAUGUCUGGUGGGUAUGCAGGCCAUGGAACAGCUUGGACAUUUUCAGCUUUCAGGAAUUGUGUACAGAUCCUUGCGACACGGGGCCGUGCAUUAUCAUAUCAUAUAUCAUGGUGAAACAUGAGGUGAUGGCGGGCGGGUGAAUGGUACGACAAUGGGCCUCAUGAUCUCAUGACGGUAUUUCUGUGCAUUCAAAUUGCCAUCGAUCAAAUGCACUUGUAUUCAUUGUUCAAAGCUUAUCCCUGCCCCAUUCACAUAACACCACAGUCCCCAUGGGGCACUCUGUUCACCACGUUGACAUCAACAUCUGGCCAGUUGGACGCACUACCAAAUUCUUAAAACAACUUUGGAGGUGGCUUAUGGUAGAGAAAUUAAUAUUCAAUUCUCUGACAACAGCUCCCUGUUGCACGCUCCCUCAAAACUUGACACAUCUGUGACAUCGUGUUGUGUGACACAACUGCACAUUUUACAGUGAUCUCUUAUCGUCCCCAGCACAAGGUGCACCUGUGAAAUGAUCAUGCUGUUUAAUCAAUUUGUUGAUAUGCCACACUUGUCAGGAGGAUGGAUUAUCUUGGCAAAGGAGAAAUUCAAAUUUACAGGGAUGUGCAUAAUUUCGUGGAUCUUUUAUUUUAGCUCAUGAAAAAUGGGACCGAGGGUUUACAUAUUGCGUUUGUAUUUUUGUUCAGUUACAUUCCAUAUAGAAUUCAUGAUUCAAUAAUUAUGUGAUCUCUCUCACUCUCUCUCUCUCUCUCUCUCUCUCUCACUCUCUCUCUCACUCUCUCUGUCUCUCUCUCUGUCUCUCUCUCUGUCUCUCUCUCUGUCUCUCUCUCUGUCCCUCUCUCUCUCUCUCUCUCUCUCUCUCUCACUCUCUCUGUCUCUCUCUCUGUCUCUCUCUCUGUCUCUCUCUCUGUCUCUCUCUCUGUCCCUCUCUCUCUCUCUCUCUGUCUCUCUCUCUCACUCU